rnacentral:tRNA from 1 species
GGCUGAGUGGCAGAGUGGUCAUGCAGCGGCCUGCAAAGCCGCGUACGUCGGUUCAAUUCCGGCCUCAGCCU